UCAGUCGACUCCUACGGGGAGGCAGCAGUGGGGGGAAUAUUGCACAAUGGGCGCAAGCCUGAUGCAGCCAUGCCGCGUGUGUGAAGAAGGACCUUCGGGUUGUAAAGCACUUUCAGCAGUGAGGAAGGCGGAGUCGUUAAUAGCGGCCUCGUUUGACGUUAGCUGCAGAAGAAGCACCGGCUAACUCCGUGCCAGCAGCCGCGGUAAUACGGAGGGUGCGAGCGUUAAUCGGAAUUACUGGGCGUAAAGCGCAUGCAGGUGGUUUGUUAAGUCAGAUGUGAAAGCCCGGGGCUCAACCUCGGAAUAGCAUUUGAAACUGGCAGACUAGAGUACUGUAGAGGGGGGUAGGAAUUUCAGGUGUAGCGGUGAAAUGCGUAGAGAUCUGAAGGAAUACCGGUGGCGAAGGCGGCCCCCUGGACAGAUACUGACACUCAGAUGCGAAAGCGUGGGGAGCAAACAGGAUUAGAUACCCUGGUAG
rnacentral:rRNA from 1 species